ensembl:snRNA U6 U6 spliceosomal RNA
GUGCUUGCUUCAGCAGCACAGGUACUAGAAUUGGAAUGAUACAGAUUAGCAUGGCCCCUGCACAAUAUGACAUGCAAAUUCAUGAAGUGCUCCAUAUUUUA